rnacentral:rRNA from 1 species
UACGGAGGGUGCGAGCGUUGUCCGGAAUCAUUGGGCGUAAAGGGCGCGUAGGUGGCCCGGUCAGUCUUUGGUGAAAGCGCGGGGCUCAACCCUGCGUCGGCCAGGGAUACUGCCGCGGCUCGAGCACUGUAGAGGCAGGCGGAAUUCCGGGUGUAGCGGUGGAAUGCGUAGAGAUCCGGAAGAACACCGGUGGCGAAGGCGGCCUGCUGGGACGUGACUGACGCUGAGACGCGAAAGCGUGGGGAGCAAACAGG